rnacentral:lncRNA from 1 species
UCCACGCGUGACGGAAGUGACGGCAACUUCCGCCAGGCGCGCGGUACGGUGAGAGGGAAGGGACAAUCUUGGUGAGGACGGCGACGCCAGCGCGAGGAGGCGCUGUGGAGGCUGAAGAACGGCGUCUGAGGCGAAAGCACUCCCUGGUGACUUGCAGCUCUGGAGACAAGCUGAUCACUCUAGCAUAGAAUGUUGGAAGAAUACCUGGCCCACAGUCAAAGAUGAAAAAGAUUAGCCCUGAGCUAACUACUGCCAGUCCUCCUCUUUUUGCUGAGGAAGUCUGGCCCUGAGCUAACAUCCAUGCCCAUCUUCCUCUACUUUAUAUGUGGGACACCUGCCACAGCGUGGCGUGCCAAGCAGUGCCACGUCCGCACCCGGGAUCCAAACCAGCGAACUGCGGGCCGCUGAGAAGUGGAACGUGCGAACUUAACCACUGUUAACCGGGCUGGCCCCUCAUCUUGUAACUUUGAAAGAUGAUGUGCUGUCUUCACCACUCAGCAGUUUCCUGGAGAUAAGUCAGUGUCCUGAAUAUAAAUGAUCAGGUCCCUGGAGCAAUAGCAUGAGAAUCUCCUGUGGCAACAGUAAAGAGUGCAGAUUUGUGGACUGUCUUGGGGUGAGGUCUGCGAAUUUGCAUAUUUGUAAGCUCUCAUAAUGAUCUUGAUGCAUAUUAAGUCUUGAGAACUAUUUCUCUGGGUAGUUAGUCCCAGUUCUGCCACUUAAAAGCUGUGUGGUAUGGGGCAAGUUAUUUCAACAGUUCUGUUUUAAUCUCAGCCCUGGGUGAGAGGCCAGAUAACAACAAUAGAUAAUAACAGUAACAUAUGGAUUAUCCCUUUAUUUAUUUAUUUAUUUUUGCUGAGGAAGAUUCACCCUAACAUCUAUACCAGUCUUCCUGUUUUGUUUAUGGGUUGUUGCCACAGCAUGGCCACUGCCAUGAACCCCGGGCAGCUGAAGUGAAGUGCACCAAACUUAACCACUAGGCCACAGGGCUAACCCCAUGGAUUAUCCUUUUUCAUUCUUGUAAGAGGUGAAUAUUGGGGCUGGCCCCAUGGCGUAGUGGUUAAGUUCCACAUGCUUUGUUUUGGUGGCCUAGGUUCACAGGUUUGGAUCCCUGGCAUGGACCUACACCAC